rnacentral:misc_RNA from 1 species
GGCUUCUGGAGCAGGAAAUGCCUUUACAGUUCGAUCACGUGGACGCAACUUCUUCACACCAUCAGCAUUAGACCUUCCAGCUGCUCUCAAUCUUCUAGCUUCUUCAUCUCGUAGUUUAGCAUCCAUCUCCUUGCUUGGAGGAUAUUUUGGAAGACUAGAAGGCUCACAAGCAUAAGGCUUGGUGGAAAAGAAUUCACUCUUCAAUGCAGCAGUAGCAGUUUGACGUUCAGCUGGGUCAAUGGCAAGAAGGGUCUCAAUUAGGGGCAGUGACGAUGGUGGGAAGUCUUUAAAAGUCUCUGCUAUACAUC